GAUGAACGCUGGCGGCGUGCUUAAGACAUGCAAGUCGAACGAAGCCCAGGUAGCAAUACUCGGGUUGAGUGGCGAAUGGGUGCGUAACACGUAGGUGACCUGCCCUGAAGCGGGGAAUAACAGUUCGAAAGGACUGCUAAUACCGCAUGUGGUUCCGGUCUUUUGAAAGCUGGAACGAAAGGUCGGCUUGCCGAUCACUUCGGGAGGGGCCUGCGGCCCAUCAGCUAGUUGGAGGGUAACGGCCUACCAAGGCAACGACGGGUAGGGGACCUCAGAGGGUGACCCCC
rnacentral:rRNA from 1 species